GUUGGCGGGGUAACGGCCCACCAAAGCAAUGAUGUCUAGGGGUUCUGAGAGGAAGGUCCCCCACACUGGAACUGAGACACGGUCCAGACUCCUACGGGAGGCAGCAGUGAGGAAUAUUGGACAAUGGUCGGAAGACUGAUCCAGCCAUGCCGCGUGAAGGAAAAGGUCCUAUGGAUUUUCAACUUCUUUUGUACGGGAGCAAUAAGGGUCACGCGUGGCCCGAUGAGAGUACCGUACGAAUAAGCAUCGGCUAACUCCGUGCCAGCAGCCGCGGUAAUACGGAGGAUGCGAGCGUUAUCCGGAUUUAUUGGGUUUAAAGGGUGCGCAGGCGGGCGGUCAAGUCAGUGGUGAAAUUCUCGCGCCAAACGCGAGGGGUGCCAUUGAAACUGGCCGUCUUGGAUACGGUUGCCGUGGGAGGAAUGUGUAGUGUAGCGGUGAAAUGCAUAGAUAUUACACAGAACGCCGAUUGCGAAAGCAUCUCACGAAGCCGUUAUUGACGCUCAGGCACGAAAGUGUGGGGAUCGAACAGGAUUAGAUACCCUGGUAGUCCACACAGUAAACGAUGAUAACUAGCUGUCGGCGACACAAUGUCGGGGGCUAAGCGAA
rnacentral:rRNA from 1 species